GAUGAACGCUAGCGGCAGGCCUAACACAUGCAAGUCGAGGGGUAGAGUUCUUCGGAACUUGAGACCGGCGCACGGGUGCGUAACGCGUAUGCAAUCUACCUUUUACUAAGGGAUAGCCCAGAGAAAUUUGGAUUAAUACCUUAUGGUAUUACGAAUUGGCAUCGAUUUGUAAUUAAAGAUUUAUUGGUAAAAGAUGAGCAUGCGUCCCAUUAGUUAGUUGGUAAGGUAACGGCUUACCAAGACGAUGAUGGGUAGGGGUCCUGAGAGGGAGAUCCCCCACACUGGUACUGAGACACGGACCAGACUCCUACGGGAGGCAGCAGUGAGGAAUAUUGGUCAAUGGAGGCAACUCUGAACCAGCCAUGCCGCGUGCAGGAUGACGGUCCUAUGGAUUGUAAACUGCUUUUGUACAGGAAGAAAAAGUAUCACGUGUGGUAUAUUGACGGUACUGUAAGAAUAAGGAUCGGCUAACUCCGUG
rnacentral:rRNA from 1 species